GGGCAAAAAACAGUGCUCACUUCGGCAGAGAAGAUUAAUUAGCAUAGCCCCUGUGCAAGGAUGACACACAAAUUUGUGAAGCAUUCCAUAUUUAA
rnacentral:snRNA from 1 species